GACGAACGCUGGCGGCGUGCUUAACACAUGCAAGUCGAACGGAAAGGCCCUGCUUUUGUGGGGUGCUCGAGUUGCGAACUGGUGAGUAACACGUGAGUAACCUGCCCUUGCCUUUGGGGUAACUUCAUGCCACUGGGGCUAAUACCGGCUAGGAGCUCCUGCUGCAUGGUAGGCGUUGGAUAGUUUCGGCGGUUGGGGAUGGACUCGCGGCUUAUCAGCUUGUUGGUGGGGUAGUGGAUUACCAAGGCAUUGACGGGUAGCCGGCCUGAGAGGGGGACAGGACAAAUUGGGAAGGAGAUACGGCCCAGACUACGACGGGAGGCAAGAGUGGGGAAGAGUACACAAGGGGCGGAAGCAUGAUGCAGCAACGCAGCGUGCGGGAAGACGGGCUGCGGGUUGUAAACCGAUGUCGCCUGUGACGAAGCGUGAGUGACGGUAAUGGGUAAAGAAGCACCGGCUAACUACGUG
rnacentral:rRNA from 1 species